CCUCGAAAGUAUGGGUAGCAACCAGGAUAGAUACCUGGUAGUCCAUACCGUAAACGAUGAAUGCUAAGUGUGGAGGGUUCCGCCCUCAGUGCUGCAGCUAACGCAUUAAGCAUUCCGCCUGGGGAGUACGGCCGCAAGGCUGAAACUCAAAGGAAUUGACGGGGGCCCGCACAAGCGGUGGAGCAUGUGGUUUAAUUCGAAGCUACGCGAAGAACCUUACCAGGUCUUGACAUACUAUGCAAAUCUAAGAGAUUAGACGUUCCCUUCGGGGACAUGGAUACAGGUGGUGCAUGGUUGUCGUCAGCUCGUGUCGUGAGAUGUUGGGUUAAGUCCCGCAACGAGCGCAACCCUUAUUAUCAGUUGCCAGCAUUAAGUUGGGCACUCUGGUGAGACUGCCGGUGACAAACCGGAGGAAGGUGGGGAUGACGUCAAAUCAUCAUGCCCCUUAUGACCUGGGCUACACACGUGCUACAAUGGAUGGUACAACGAGUUGCGAACUCGCGAGAGUAAGCUAAUCUCUUAAAGCCAUUCUCAGUUCGGAUUGUAGGCUGCAACUCGCCUACAUGAAGUCGGAAUCGCUAGUAAUCGCGGAUCAGCAUGCCGCGGUGAAUACGUUCCCGGGCCUUGUACACACCGCCCGUCACACCAUGAGAGUUUGUAACACCCAAAGUCGGUGGGGUAACCUUUAGGAACCAGCCGCCUAAGGUGGGACAGAUGAUUAGGGUGAAGUCGUAACAAGGUAACCA
rnacentral:rRNA from 1 species